UACGAAGGGUGCAAGCGUUAAUCGGAAUUACUGGGCGUAAAGAGCGCGCAGGCGGUCGUUCAAGUCGAGUGUGAAAGCCCCCGGCUCAACUGGGGAGGGUCACUCGAUACUGAUCGACUUGAAGGCAGGAGAGGGAAGCGGAAUUCCCGGUGUAGUGGUGAAAUGCGUAGAUAUCGGGAGGAACACCAGUGGCGAAGGCGGCUUCCUGGCCUGUUCUUGACGCUGAGGCGCGAAAGCUAGGGGAGCAAACGGG
rnacentral:rRNA from 1 species